CCUACGGGGGGCUGCAGUGGGGAAUAUUGGACAAUGGGGGCAACCCUGAUCCAGCCAUGCCGCGUGUGUGAAGAAGGCCCUCGGGUUGUAAAGCACUUUCAGUGAGGAAGAACGCCUGGUGGUUAAUACCCAUCAGGAAAGACUUCACUCACAGAAGAAGCACCGGCUAACUCCGUGCCAGCAGCCGCGGUAAUACGGAGGGUGCGAGCGUUAAUCGGAAUUACUGGGCGUAAAGCGCGCGUAGGUGGCUUGAUAAGCCGGUUGUGAAAGCCCCGGGCUCAACCUGGGAACGGCAUCCGGAACUGUCAAGCUAGAGUGCAGGAGAGGAAGGUAGAAUUCCCGGUGUAGCGGUGAAAUGCGUAGAGAUCGGGAGGAAUACCAGUGGCGAAGGCGGCCUUCUGGACUGACACUGACACUGAGGUGCGAAAGCGUGGGUAGCAAACAGGAUUAGAUACCCGAGUAGUC
rnacentral:rRNA from 1 species